AAAUAACCCUGACUGUAGUGGAAAUCUUUUUAUUGUUUCCUUAAAAAACAAUAAAAAAUUGCAACGAAAGGCAGGAAAAUGG
rnacentral:sRNA from 1 species